CAGCAGCCACGGUAAUACGUAGGGUGCGAGCGUUAAUCGGAAUUACUGGGCGUAAAGCGUGCGCAGGCGGUUUGUUAAGACAGAUGUGAAAUCCCCGGGCUUAACCUGGGAACUGCAUUUGUGACUGGCCGGCUAGAGUAUGGCAGAGGGAGGUGGAAUUCCACGUGUAGCAGUGAAAUGCGUAGAUAUGUGGAGGAACACCGAUGGCGAAGGCAGCCUCCUGGGCCAAUACUGACGCUCAUGCACGAAAGCGUGGGGAGCAAACAGGAUUAGAGACCCCCAGUAGUCCCUGUCUCUUAUA
rnacentral:rRNA from 1 species